GAUGAACGCUGGCGGCGUGCCUAAUACAUGCAAGUCGAACGAAACUUCUUUAUCACCGAGUGCUUGCACUCACCGAUAAAGAGUUGAGUGGCGAACGGGUGAGUAACACGUGGGCAACCUGCCCAAAAGAGGGGGAUAACACUUGGAAACAGGUGCUAAUACCGCAUAACCAUAGUUACCGCAUGGUAACUAUGUAAAAGGUGGCUAUACUACCGCUUUUGGAUGGGCCCGCGGCGCAUUAGCUAGUUGGUAGGGUAAAGGCUUACCAAGGCAAUGAUGCGUAGCCGAAUUGAGAGGUUGAUCGGCCACAUUGGGACUGAGACACGGCCCAAACUCCUACGGGAGGCAGCAGUAGGGAAUCUUCCACGAUGGGCGAAAGCCUGAUGGAGCAACGCCGCGUGGGUGAAGAAGGUCUUCGGAUCGUAAAACCCUGUUGUUAGAGAAGAAAGUGCGUGAGAGUAACUGUUCACGUUUCGACGGUAUCUAACCAGAAAGCCACGGCUAACUACGUG
rnacentral:rRNA from 1 species